UACGUAGGGCGCAAGCGUUAUCCGGAAUUAUUGGGCGUAAAGAGCUCGUAGGCGGUUGUCGCGUCUGCCGUGAAAGUCCAGGGCUCAACCCUGGGAUGCCGGUGGAUACUGUCGGACUAGAGUACGGAAGAGGCGAGUGGAAUUCCUGGUGUAGCGGUGAAAUGCGCAGAUAUCAGGAGGAACACCAAUGGCGAAGGCAGCUCGCUGGGACGUGACUGACGCUGAGACGCGAAAGCGUGGGGAGCAAACAGG
rnacentral:rRNA from 1 species